UACGUAGGGGGCUAGCGUUGUCCGGAUUUACUGGGCGUAAAGAGCGCGCAGGCGGUCGUUCAAGUCGAGUGUGGAAGCCCCCGGCUCAACUGGGGAGGGUCACUCGAUACUGAUCGACUCGAAGGCAGGAGAGGGUAGUGGAAUUCCCGGUGUAGUGGUGAAAUGCGUAGAUAUCGGGAGGAACACCGGUGGCGAAGGCGGCGACCUGGGUAGAUACUGACGCUGAGGUGCGGAAGCGUGGGGAGCAAACAGG
rnacentral:rRNA from 1 species